AGCUUUAUGCAGUGGUAGUAUUGUAGCCAAUGAGGUUUAUUCAAGGUGCAAUUAUUGAUAAUUGAAAGCAUCUUA
rnacentral:snRNA from 1 species